rnacentral:rRNA from 1 species
CCUACGGGUGGCUGCAGUGGGGAAUCUUGGACAAUGGGCGCAAGCCUGAUCCAGCCAUGCCGCGUGAGUGACGAAGGCCCUAGGGUCGUAAAGCUCUUUCGCCAGGGAUGAUAAUGACAGUACCUGGUAAAGAAACCCUGGCUAACUCCGUGCCAGCAGCCGCGGUAAUACGGAGGGGGUUAGCGUUGUUCGGAAUUACUGGGCGUAAAGCGCACGUAGGCGGAUUAGAAAGCUAGAGGUGAAAUCCCGGGGCUCAACCCCGGAACUGCCUUUAGAACUACUAGUCUAGAGUUCGAGAGAGGUGAGUGGAAUUCCAAGUGUAGAGGUGAAAUUCGUAGAUAUUUGGAGGAACACCAGUGGCGAAGGCGGCUCACUGGCUCGAUACUGACGCUGAGGUGCGAAAGUGUGGGGAGCAAACAGGAUUAGAUACCCUGG